UUUUUUGUAGUAUAAUAAGUGCGUCGGCUUUUCAUUCCGAAGGAGGACUUAAAGUGGUCUCAAUUAUAGAAGUAAGCACUAAAAAAA
rnacentral:tRNA from 1 species